CAGGCUUCCCUGCCCGGCUGCUGCCUCAGGGCUGCGCUGAGCUCAGGCCAGAGCAGCUUCCAGGGCCUCAUUUCAGUUGUUUUUAUCAUCUAUGAGUUAUCCAGUGUUUCCAAUAAAUCACAUUCCAGGGCAAGCAGUGCAGAGAUGUGGGCCCUUAUUUCCUCUCCCAGGCUGAUAACAAUGAACAAGUGAUUUCCUGUCCAAAGCUGGGUACUCCAGCGAAAUAAGAAGUCCUAUCUCCAGGAAAAUAACACUGUCUCUCUCUCAGCCCCAACUCCAGCACACCAAGCAUGGACCGUCUCUGGCCCUUGGGCAAGCUGGAGCAGCCUUUCAUUUCCUCUCUGCCUAUUCAUGCACGCCCCACCCAUCUCCCAGUCCAGGCUGUGAUCCUCACCACCCAGCAAGCAGGCGAGGCAGGGCUAGGAACCCAUUUUACAGGAUAGCUGUGAUUAGAACACGUGUGUAAAGCGCCUGUCAUGGCAGCGUCCUUCUCCUGGCGGCAAGUCUUCACUUGCAAAACAAGUCCUUUUAGGAACAGGCUUUGUGACAGCUGCUGCUAUCCAGUCAUCUUUAGAGCCCUGGAGUCCUCGCCAAGGGCACGGGCUCCCUUUGUGGUCCUGGAAUAAUGGGGCCUGCCUGGCACUCUCAGAUUGCGUGGGGAUCCGCUGGACUUAGGGAAGGUUUUGGGCACAGGAGGUAGAGGUCC
rnacentral:lncRNA from 10 species